UACGAAGGGAACUAGCGUUGUUCGGAAUCACUGGGCGUAAAGCGCACGUAGGCGGAUGUGUCAGUCAGGGGUGAAAUCCCGGAGCUCAACUUCGGAACUGCCUUUGAUACAGCACGUCUUGAGUCCGAUAGAGGUGGGUGGAAUUCCUAGUGUAGAGGUGAAAUUCGUAGAUAUUAGGAAGAACACCGGUGGCGAAGGCGGCCCACUGGAUCGGUACUGACGCUGAGGUGCGAAAGCGUGGGGAGCAAACAGG
rnacentral:rRNA from 1 species